rnacentral:rRNA from 1 species
AUUGAACGCUGGCGGCAGGCCUAACACAUGCAAGUCGAACGAGUGGCGGACGGGUUAGUAAUGUCUGGGAAACUGCCUGAUGGAGGGGGAUAACUACUGGAAACGGUAGCUAAUACCGCAUACCAUCGGAUGUGCCCAGAUGGGAUUAGCUCGGAGGUGGGGUAAAGGCUCACCUAGGCGACGAUCCCUAGCUGGUCCGAGAGGAUGACAAGGCACACAGGAGCUGAGACACGGUACAGACUCCUACAGAGGGCAGCAGUGGGGAAUAUUGCACAAGGGGCGCAAGCCUGAGGCAGCCAUGCCGCGUUUAUGAAGAAGGCCUUCGGGUUGUAAAGUACUUUCAGCGGGGAGGCGUUACCCGAAGAAGAAGCACCGGCUAACUCCGUGCCAGCGGCCGCGGUAAUAC